rnacentral:snRNA from 1 species
GCUCAAUUCGGCAGCACACACACUAAGACGGGAACAAUACUGAGAAGGGUACCAUGAUGCCCGUGCAAACGAGCGAAGCACUUCAUAUUUUU